UGUGGGAGCGGGCUUGCUCGCGAAAGCGGUAGUUCGGACACAUUGUCAUUGAAUGUGCCGCCGUCUUCGCGAGCAAGCCCGCUCCCACA
rnacentral:misc_RNA from 1 species